UACACACACACACACACACACACACAGUAUUAGACCUGUCCUAUAGAGGAUGCUACCUAGAAUUUCAGGGAGUUCCAAAGCCAUUGUGUCAACAGGUGCAGAAAGAACUGACUCUAUGCCUGGAUCUUGCCAGAACUUUUGGGAUGGAGGCCUGAACUUUGGUCAUGAGAAGUGGGGAGAAUACCCUUUCACACUGUCCCUUACCGAGGGAGACCAACAAAUGACAGUAGAGUAUUCAUAGAAUGCCUCAUCCACCCCCACUCAGGGACAACUUCCUGGGAACUAAAACCCCUUUGAUGCAUCGUAACGAGCAGGUGUCAAAGGCCAUGAUUUACAACAUGGAAACUGAAGAGAAGAGCUGUCCUGAAUAUGUCCAAGACCACACAACCAUGAUAAGAAACCCCGUGUUCCUCCCCCGGCACCAGGGCACGAAAGUGAAUGUCCAUCUCCACCCUGCUUGGCGGCGGGGAGGAGGGGGAAGAAGAAGAAGGAGAAGGAGAAGAAGAAAAGCAGUUCUCUGAAGAAAAAUGCCCGUGUGCUAGAAGUCACAUGUCCCCAGUAUGUCUAACUUCUGAAAAGUAUUCCAAAGAAAGCAUUUGAAGACAAAGAAACACAUUCUCUGUGUUUUAGGGGACAUGUUGAAUGGAUAUUAGGCUUAUGCCUGAAAAUUACUCACAGACAAAAAGC
rnacentral:lncRNA from 1 species